GUUAUGGUGGCAGAGCCUGGGUAUUGCAAAAGAUCUAAACUCUUUUAACAGGGGUUCAAAUCCCCUCCAUAACU
rnacentral:tRNA from 1 species